GAGAAGAACGCAGUGAAAUGCGAUAAGUAAUGUGAAUUGCAGAAUUCAGUGAAUCAUCGAAUCUUUGAACGCACAUUGCGCCCGCCAGUAUUCUGGCGGGCAUGCCUGUUCGAGCGUCAUUUCAACCAUCAAGCCCCAGGCUUGUGUUGGGGACCUGCGGCUGCCGCAGGCCCUGAAAACCAGUGGCGGGCUCGCUGUCACACCGGGCGUAGUAGAUUUUAUCUCGCUCAGGGCGUGCUGCGGGUCCCGGCCGUUAAAAGCCUUUUUUUACCCAAGGUUGACCUCGGAUCAGGUAGGAAGACCCGCUGAACUUAAGCAUAUCAAUAAGCGGAGGA
rnacentral:misc_RNA from 1 species